rnacentral:rRNA from 1 species
AUUGAACGCUGGCGGCAGGCCUAACACAUGCAAGUCGAACGAGUGGCGGACGGGUGAGUAAUGUAUGGGAAACUGCCUGACGGAGGGGGAUAACUACUGGAAACGGUAGCUAAUACCGCAUACCAUCAGAUGUGCCCGGAUGGGAUUAGCUUGUUGGGGGGGUAACGGCUCACCAAGGCACCGAUCCCUAGCUGGUCUGAGAGGAUGACCAGCAACACUGGAACUGAGACACGGUCCAGACUCCGACGUGAGGCAGCAGUGGGGAAUAUUGCACAAUGGGCGCAAGCCUUAUGCAGCCAUGCCGCGUGUAUGAAGAAGGCCUUCGGGUUGUAAAGUACUUUCAGCGGGGAGGCGUUACCCGCAGAAGAAGCACCGGCGAACUCCGUGCCAGCAGCCGCGGUAAUUC